rnacentral:lncRNA from 1 species
CUCGGGCCGGCCGCGGGGCGGCUCAGGGAGUGUCGCCAAAGUGCCAGCCUCUCUCGGCGCGCGCCCCGCCCGCGGAGCCUGAGCCGAGCCCGGGUUCCACUCUAGGGAGCGUCUCAAAAGUGCGCUGCUCCCGCCCCCUCUAGUUGGCCUCGCUCACAGCUUCCUGCAUCCCGGAUCCCUGCCCCCUCCCCCUGCGCGCCCCAGCAAUCUAAGCAGAUGGCCGCACUGUCGGGAACAUCUGGAGGCCGCCGGAGUACGUGCCUGAGUGAAAGAGGUUCAGGGACGACCGGGAGCAAGAAACCAAGAAUCUGAAGCAGAGAAAGACUGGCUGAAAGACGAACCCACAGAGAAGAGAGAGCCCGGCUCGGGCAGAAAAGCUGGCAGGAGAGGAGAGAGAAAGUCAACAGAUUGAGUUUUUCUUUUAUGGAGGAAACCAUUGGCUUCUGGUUAGAGUUCUAAGAAGGGAAACUGGCGUGUGAGUAGGCAGCAGUUUCAGUCUAUUCCCCCUGCUGCAGCUCUUGGGCUCUCACCCCUCUUUAUGUUAAAAAAAAAAAAAAAAAAAAAAAAAGGGCAGGAAAGCAUCCAAGACACUUUAAAAUGAGGGUUUGCAGGAGAAAUGACCUGGUGGACGCAUUCCCUAGGAGGGGAGAGUCGGGUGUGUGGGUGGCUCCCAGUCUACACACCCCGACAAUGCCUACCUUGGGAGAGGGGCAGUUCACAGGUGGGAGAGUUGAUAGAGGCUUUGGUCUUGGGCCCUGGACCUCCCAGGAGCUUCUCCUAGACUUUGGAGGGCCUCGGGGUGCAGAAAUUGGGCAAUGUACCCCCUGCAGUGGCCCAGACUUGUUAACACACCCAG